UACGAAGGGGACUAGCGUUGCUCGGAAUCACUGGGCGUAAAGCGCACGUAGGCGGCUUUCUAAGUCAGGGGUGAAAUCCUGGAGCUCAACUCCAGAACUGCCUUUGAUACUGGAGAGCUUGAGUCCGGAAGAGGUGAGUGGAACUCCGAGUGUAGAGGUGAAAUUCGUAGAUAUUCGGAAGAACACCAGUGGCGAAGGCGGCUCACUGGUCCGGUACUGACGCUGAGGUGCGAAAGCGUGGGGAGCAAACAGG
rnacentral:rRNA from 1 species